GACGAACGCUGGGCCGGCGUGCCUAAACAUGCAAGGUCGAGCGGAGAUAUAUUGAAGAUUUAUCGGAUAUAUAUCUUAGCGGCGGACGGGUGAGUAACGCGUGGGUAACCUGCCUUAUACAGGGGGAUAACACAGGGAAACUUGUGCUAAUACCGCAUAAUAUCAUUGUAUGGCAUCAUAUGAUGAUCAAAGGAGCAAUCCGGUAUAAGAUGGACCCGCGUCCAAUUAGCUAGUUGGUGGUGUAACGGACCACCAAGGCGACGAUUGGUAGCCGAACUGAGAGGUUGAUCGGCCACAUUGGGACUGAGACACGGCCCAGACUCCUACGGGAGGCAGCAGUGGGGAAUAUUGCACAAUGGGGGAAACCCUGAUGCAGCAACGCCGCGUGAAGGAUGAAGGUUUUCGGAUCGUAAACUUCUUUGAUGAGGGACGAAUAAUGACGGUACCUCAAGAACAAGCCACGGCUAACUACGUG
rnacentral:rRNA from 1 species